AAUUCCGAAAUAGUGGUAUGAAAGAAAACAAAUAAGGCUCAAAGGGCUAACAAAAGUGUUUAGAUAGCAGAACAAAAUGCCUCUGUCAUUCCAAUAUUCAAAACAUGCCAAGCACAAACAACACGAUUAAACAAAGAUUUGUGACAUCUUUUGAUCUUACUAGUCUUGAUAACUAUAUCCACAUCUUUGCUUUCUUCAUCUUUGAAAUGUAAAGAACCAUUUGGGCAAAAUUUUCACUCUCGUUAUCAUGAACGACCCUUGCUUUUACGGUUUAUGUUUUAUCCGCCCACAGUUUCACAUGGUUUGGACUUCAAAUGAUCUCAAACCGUUUUUUAUUUCCUUAAGUGUCCCGACCAUCUCCCAACGGCUUUAUUAUUAACUUUUAAUUUUAGUACUGGGUUGUGCGUGCAUGUCAUGUCACUAGAAUCAGCGUUGAACAAAAUACAAAAACAAAGGAUAAAAGAACUAAAAGAAAAGGACUGGAGGUAAAAAAACCGGAAUUUGCAUUAGAUAAACGGCGAAUAGUUUGGAUAACAAAACAAGCAAAACAAACCGGAUUAUCAUCCUAGAAUGAAACUGAAGCAAACGUGGACAACACCAAACAAACCACUACGACUAAACAAAUUAGAUAAAAGGAUAAUGGGAUUUGAGUGACAAGACAAUAUCCAGAUUACAACCCCGCAAAUAACCCAGACAACAGAAAUGACAACAAAACAAGCUAAAGAUUCCUUUAUAAGUGAGGAUAAUUUUCAAUUGCCAGGCUUGAUAUUUAGCCAUAAAUUUGCUCAUAAGAAUCAACAGAGCCUUCUCGAAUUUCAACAUCAUUAACUUGAGUUAGCAAGUUCCCGCGGGGAUUCUCAUACUUCAUGUCAUCAGGUAUCAUCCCCACAAAGUGUGCAUUAUGAUUUGCAGGUAAAGGAUUCUGCAUGAUAUUCUGGCUGUCACUGUCUUGGAUCACAAUCAAGUUUUCCUGAAUCUUGUGUUUCCAGCUUGCCAAAAACCGACCACCUCAACUUUCUUCACAAUUCAAAACAGAACAUGUUAGAAUGGACUCAGUCGGCCCUCAUUAUUAACAACAACAUCUUUUUCUUUUUUUCAUUUCAUAAUUUUUUUAGAUAUAGUUGUGGUUGAAUAUUAUGCAGAUUGCCCACGUAUCAUGACUCCGCAUGAAUCAGACAUUGCGUAGUUCGGGCCAAUAAAACAAACUACUUUGAAAACAAAGACAAUUUUUUUCUCUUUUUCAUUUGAAAAUAGAACAAGCUAUUUUUUGAAAGAAAAUUUUUUUUUCCCUUUUUAUUUUAUUUUAUUUGGGAAGUAAAAUAGAACUUUUUUUUUCAUUUUAAAAAAAAAAGAAUUCGGCAGAGUUUUGACACUAUUUUGGCAUUGGUAUUUUUCAAAACAGAUGAUUAACCCUCUACACUGCUAUUUCUCUUCUUUUUUUCUCUUUUCCCCAAUUUUCCGAUAUUCCUGAUUUUCAGAAGCCGAUCAGCAUGCCAAUUUGAAGGAAAUAAAAUGCACAAGCAGUAAGUAGGAUGUAUCAGGAUGGUCUUUUUCAUUUCGGGUACACCUGUCCUAGACACACCCAACCCCUGUGUUGAGUUUCCAAAGUCAAAAUGCACAUGAUGUAAACUAUUUGAUUGUACCGAAAGGCCCAAUGAAUUGGGAUUUCCCUAUUGGUCCAGGUCAUUUCGGGGCAAGCGGAUCAUUUAUGAUGAAGAGGAUGAGCUUCAAGAGAAUGAUUCGGAGUUCUUGCAGAGUGGAACCAUGCAGUACUAAUAGGAAUUCAACCAUUAUGGCUAGGAAAAGUUUGAUUCGGAGGGAGAAGAAGAGGCAAAAAUUGGAACAGAAACAUCAUUCGAUUCGCCGAUCCUCAAAGAAAGAAAUAAGCUUCCUACUAGGGAUCCAGCAUGAGGUUUUGUUAUACUAGGUUUAAAACCUGGGUAUAUUGUUCUAGACCUGGCUUAUCCGAGCGGAUAGCUCGAGCCGAGGGGGAGGCAUCGUACUGGAAUACAGAAACUUCACUGGCUUAGCAACUUGUCCGAACCUCAUACUAAAUUGGUAAUUAGACUCUAUACAGAAAAAAGUCACACGAAGUGCACCCUGCUUCAUGAUUUAGAAGAUUCAGAGACAAAAUGGGUUUCGUCACAGUUUAUAUAUAGUUCACGAAAUAUCAAAGCGGUAAAAGUAGUCAAUUAGCACAUUAGGCACAGAACAUGUAACAAAAUCAGAUAAAUCCAAACACAACAGUUUAUCUAAGCUCGAACGGUGAACCCUGAACAAAAGUUCUGGGUUAAGAUCCCCAGCAGAGUCUCUAGAGCUAUCACACCUCUCUUUUGCCUAUGCCCGCAAGGGCGUAAGGAGAGUUUUCCAAUAAAAGGACAAUCGAAAUGAGAUUUAUUAAAAGAUUCAGAGUCGCCUCUUGGGAGAUUUAUGGUGUUCCAAGUCACCGGUUGAAUCGCAAAUCGAUUAAAAGAAUAACUCUGUAUUACAGUCUGCGAAGCAGAAAUCCGAGUAAGGAAUUCUGUUAACUUGGGAGAAGGUGUUAGCUAUUCCCGAGUUCUGUGGUUCUAGCACGGUCGCUCCACUGUCAUAUUAGGCUUAUUAAUCUGAUUUUAAUACAUGUUGAACCUAGGUGAAAAUUUUAACUUUUUACCGCUUUUAUUAUUAUUAUUAUUUAAAGAAAGUUGAACAUCGUUUAAAAUGCAUAUUUAGACUGCGUCACAUAAAAUGCACCCCCAAUCCUGAACACAUUGUAUUCGACGUUUUGGGAUUUAAUUUGGGUCAUAUGAAAUGCACACCCGAGUUUUGGAAGGUAAUAUUAUUAAAAACCGCUCCUAAAGAGACUACCUUGUUAUUAUUUUGGGGAAGGCCUACUAAAUGGCCCGUCCCGAAAUCUAAGUAUUUAUUAUAACCAUUUAUUGAGUACCCCGCAGUUUGUGUAUUUUAUUUGGCUAGGCUCGUCUCAUUCUUUAUUUAAGGAUAUCCUAAAGCGACUAUGAUUUUUCUAUUUAUUUUGUCGGUAAAAGAAAUAAAACGAAAUCCCUAAUUACUUAAUAUUAUAAUUCGAGCUUCAAAUUCGAGUCCAGAUCCAAACAAAAGGGAGCGCCUUUUAGUUUGAGCCCACUUCCCAACUUGAAACCCACAGUAGGUCAAUUGAAUACUAACAAGCCAAUUGCCGAAAGUGCCCAAACCAUGUAUCACGUAAAUUUUAGACAAAGGUCCCAAUAGCCAAUAGAUAUGGGGGCCGGAAAGCCCAAUUUAGUCAAAACAGAUCAAACCAAAGAGAUCGGAAGAUCGAAUCUCUAAGGCCGCACAAGCCGACCAUUGCUUAACCUUUUGUAUAUCUAAGAUUAUACUAACUUUUCUAAUUUUUGCCGAAUAGCACUAGAGUUAGACAACGUACACUCAUUCAAAUUAAUAACUCCAUUCAUGUCUGAUUAUCAAACAAUCAAUUCGUUUAAGUUGUGAGCUAAUGUUGCCUAGUUGUUCAAACGGGUUAUUGAUAUUGAUUACCAAUCUAUACUAUAAAAACCUUGUUGAAAUAAGGAACUCAGUGAAACAGAAGAGUUGACCUUAAUAACUACUCUGUGGGUAUUAGCUAACAAAGAUGCGAAGCUCGCUUGGCAUAUGUAUUCAAACUAAAAAUUAAACUGGACGUGGCCAUCACACACUGGUAAUCUCAAACUGUUUUCGACUUUUCUCUUAAACAACAGUAAACGCUAAACUACACAUGGGUUAACUACGUGAGAGUUAUUGCUAAACAGUCACUAGUUUAUACAGUCCAGAAAUCCGGUAGAGUACACAUGGAGGCCUGCUUAAAUCCUGCAUUAUACUAUAAUCUCAAACUACACCCAACUAAAUUGCCAAAUCCAUGAAAUACAUCUAAUUAAUCAAACAACUAACUAUUAAACAGUCCAAAUUAGUUCAAGUACAUUUCCAAUUCCUACAAGGUGAGUACAAUUGGAAAGAGUCAAAACAAAUACAAAUUAUCUACUAACUAUACUGCUAAGUUAAUUUGAAUAUAUAAACAUAAAAACGCAAACGGGUUGAAGAUUUCAUUGCAUCAUUUCAAUAUCCAAGUUGUAGCAAUACAUGAUUCAAAUAUGUACCUCGUUUUGAGGAAUAUAAGAAGAAUGAAAAGAGGUCAGCUACAGGCUGAAUAAGCAUCAACGCAUAUCAUAGCAGCAGCAAGACAGCAGUAACACCAAUAGCAUAUUACCAACAGCAAUGGAGUAGUUAAAAAAAAAAAACCAACCCACCACCAAUUCAACCAAAAUGAAAUUGAGAAACAAACAGAAAGAGAGCUUGACCACAACAAUAACAACCAAAGACAGAACAACUGGGCUCGACUAAGAUCAAAAACAGAAUCAGCAGACUUCCAAACAGAUUCAGCAAUCAGAAAAGGUAAGAAUCAGGGCCUGGAAUCGAAAUUUCUGCCUAGAACUCAAUGGAACAGUACCCUUUCUUUUAAAAACUGACAAUGACUUGAAGUCUGAAGAUGCUCUCCUGGAUUGAGUAGAAAGAUAACCUAUGGAAAAACUGACUCCCUCUUUAUGAUAUUAUUUUAAGUGUGACCUUUGAGAACUGAUUCCAAAAGCCCCCUUAACAAUACUCUCUAAGAUUCUUAAAGACUGAUCCCUCUUCUCCCCAAAAUUCAGUCCCCUUUCAAACUCUCUUAACCCCUGUAUUUAUAUCAAAUACAGUCCCCCCCCCCCCCCCCCCNNNNNNNNNNNNNNNNNNNNNNNNNNNNNNNNNNNNNNNNNNNNNNNNNNNNNNNNNNNNNNNNNNNNNNNNNNNNNNNNNNNNNNNNNNNNNNNNNNNNNNNNNNNNNNNNNNNNNNNNNNNNNNNNNNNNNNNNNNNNNNNNNNNNNNNNNNNNNNNNNNNNNNNNNNNNNNNNNNNNNNNNNNNNNNNNNNNNNNNNNNNNNNNNNNNNNNNNNNNNNNNNNNNNNNNNNNNNNNNNNNNNNNNNNNNNNNNNNNNNNNNNNNNNNNNNNCCCCCCCCCCCCCCCCCCCCUCUAGUUCUUAUGAGAACUUAGCCAAUUAAAAAAUUCAUUGUCCCAUCAUAUUGCCUGAAGACUACUACUGCCUGUCCCUUUCUAUUAUGUUAAUUCAAAAAUUUAUGGGCAGCCUAAAUUGAAAAUUCAGGCGUGCCCGACAGCCCUUGUUGCUUCCAAUUUGUCCGAAUCAUUUUUUUAAUUCAGUGCUUUAUCUUAAUUUUAUUAAUCAACAAAUCCUAAUUGACUAACAAACAUGGUACAGAUUCAAAUAACAGCUAACAACAAACCACAAUUACACAAAAUUCAAAUGACUAACCAAUUCAGUGUGAUAACCGACUCAGCAUUUCAACUUAUUGCGAUGAACUAAUCUCUAAUUUUAUUCAACGUAUAAACAAAUUAGAAACGAAGCAGGAGGAGAAGAAGAUUGGGAAUUAAACGAAAACCAAAAUAUAACUGAAAGUAAAGGGAAUUGAAAAUACCCGGAUAUCAGGCGGACCAAACAGUGGAAUUACUCAUCAUCCUUUUGAUUUGGAUCGUAACAGACCUUAAUGAUGUGUUUCCAAUAUGAAAACAUACGACUAAGGUCGAAUUAUGGUCUAAAGCUCCUCACCGUUCCCAUUGGCUUUUGAGUUAAAGUUAGGGAUCAGUUUUCGUGAUUUCAAAUUUGAGACUCUAGGCCCACAUUCAAAGGAAGCCAGGUGUGGAUUUGGGGUGAGGGAGUCAAGUAGGUCAUUGGGUGUUAGUUUGGGAAGGUUUGGAGGUGGUGCCGUCAUCGGGGAUUUUAGAGUGGCGCUAGGAUUCCUCCCUUUGAAGGGAUAUUCAAGGGGAUUGGCUUGGAUUCGAGGAAAAGUGUUUGGAUAAUCGGAAUGGGGAGGUCGAGGAGCUAUGGUGUAAAAUUUGGAGGGUUUGGGCCACCGGAACCGCCGUGAGGCGAUUUCUGGUGGGCGGACCACGGUGGAGUCUAGGCGGAGAGUUUGUUUGGUCUCUGAGGUUAGAGACAGAGAGGUCAACGGUUGGGUUUGGCUUGG
rnacentral:lncRNA from 1 species